GAGCGGCCUUUUUACCCGGCCGAGCGGCCUCUUUUUACCCGGCCGAGCGGCCUCUUUUUACCCGGCCGAGCGGCCUUUUUACCCGGCCGAGCGGCCUCUUUUUACCCGGCCGAGCGGCCUCUUUUUACCCGGCCGAGCGGCCUCUCUUUACCCGGCCGAGCGGCCUCCUUCUUUCCCCGGCCGAGCGACCUCCUUCUUUCCCCGGCCUCCUUCCUCUUUCUUCCCCCGGCCGAGCGGCCUCCUUCUUUCCCCGGCCUCCUUCCUCUUUCUUCCCCCGGCCGAGCGACCUCCUUCUUUCCCCGGCCUCCUUCCUCUUUCUUCCCCCGGCCGAGCGACCUCCUUCUUUCCCCGGCCUCCUUCCUCUCUCUUCCCCCGGCCGAGCGGCUGAGCGGGUGGGACGAAGGCCUGGAAGCACUGGCGCUGGUAAAACCUGAGGAGAAGCGGGCGCUGCCGUGACCUCGAUCCCCUCAGGGAAUCCCGAUCCGCCUCGGAGUGUCCACGCAGUGUGAUGGUGAACGCUAUGGCAUCCUCAAGCCUGGAAGAUUUAUGCCUCUACAUCAGUUUGAGGAUUUCAAAUAUUAAAAAGUGUAUCAUAUUGAGAGACCUAGGUAAACACGAUUCCUGCAAACGUUUUCUCCAUAAAAUAUGUAACGAGGGGAUCCUUGUACAUGAGCUCCUGCAAGCAAUGGAAAUUCAAGUUAAAAAGCAAGAAGAACUGAAAAAAUCGCUCAAAGAGAUCCAGAAGUCUGCUGAGAGAGCUCAAAAGGAAGCAUGGCACCUCCUUGAACACAUGCCACGCUAUCUGCCUAAACCACUCCAGGUCU
rnacentral:lncRNA from 1 species